GCAGAGCACUCCUAGGGAGGCAGCAGUGGGGAAUAUUGCACAAUGGGCGCAAGCCUGAUGCAGCCAUGCCGCGUGUAUGAAGAAGGCCUUCGGGUUGUAAAGUACUUUCAGCAGUGAGGAAGGUGGGUAUGUUAAUAGCAUACUCAUUUGACGUUAGCUGCAGAAGAAGCACCGGCUAACUCCGUGCCAGCAGCCGCGGUAAUACGGAGGGUGCGAGCGUUAAUCGGAAUUACUGGGCGUAAAGCGCAUGCAGGUGGUUUGUUAAGUCAGAUGUGAAAGCCCGGGGCUCAACCUCGGAAUUGCAUUUGAAACUGGCAAACUAGAGUACUGUAGAGGGGGUAGAAUUUCAGGUGUAGCGGUGAAAUGCGUAGAGAUCUGAAGGAAUACCGGUGGCGAAGGCGGCCCCCUGGACAGAUACUGACACUCAGAUGCGAAAGCGUGGGGAGCAAACAGGAUUAGAUACCCUGGUG
rnacentral:rRNA from 1 species